GAUUUUAAAAAUUGCUAUUUUAAUAUUGAUUACUUGGGUGAGGGGGGUUAGGGUGAAGAGGGUCAGGGCGGAAGGAAGGUGGGUGAGACAGUUCAGUUUUAUCUCCUGUGACUGAGGGGAUGGCAGGGGAAGUGCCCCGCUUCCGAUUACAGUGCUCAGGAACGAUUGUAGUCAUUUGCUGUCACCUUGGAGACCCCAAUGUGGGAAAGAACAUUCUGAAGGUGUCACUUGAGUGGUCAUGAAUAUUCUGAGAAGUUGUUGGCUUCAAUGAACAUGAGAAAUUGCUUUCAAGAUUGCCACGCUCCUUCUCUGGCCCUGACUGCCCCAACCAGACCACACAUGCCAACACGAUUCAUAUAAAGCUUGGGUACUGGAGAGCACAUCUUGGAACUGUCCGUGUUCCUGGUCCUGUCUGCUUGGGUCCUCUGUUCAGCCACAAAGCUGAGCCAUAAGCACCAGACACAUGGUCCCAGCACUCAAGGGCACAUCAGGGGCCUCCUCCUCCAAGGCUUGGAAAGGGAAAGAACUGGAUUGGAUGGAGC